rnacentral:tRNA from 1 species
GAGACUGAUUCCGAACUGCUAAAUCAACCCACCGAGCUUAAUAGACCUCGGCUCUCUC